CGUGGGAGAACAUCGCUGCUCGGGUCAAUGCGUCCAAUCCUGCGGGGGAGAAGCGCACUUAGCAGCAGUUUAGGAUGAAAUAUAAAAACAUUGUUCAAACAGCCAACAGAAAGAAGGCAGAUGUCCGUAAAACG